UGGGGAGCAAACAGGAUUAGAUACCCUGGUAGUCCACGCCGUAAACGAUGAGUGCUAAGUGUUGGAGGGUUUCCGCCCUUCAGUGCUGCAGCUAACGCAUUAAGCACUCCGCCUGGGGAGUACGACCGCAAGGUUGAAACUCAAAGGAAUUGACGGGGGCCCGCACAAGCGGUGGAGCAUGUGGUUUAAUUCGAAGCAACGCGAAGAACCUUACCAGGUCUUGACAUCCUUUGACCACUCUAGAGAUAGAGCUUCCCCUUCGGGGGCAAAGUGACAGGUGGUGCAUGGUUGUCGUCAGCUCGUGUCGUGAGAUGUUGGGUUAAGUCCCGCAACGAGCGCAACCCUUAUUGUUAGUUGCCAUCAUUCAGUUGGGCACUCUAGCAAGACUGCCGGUGACAAACCGGAGGAAGGUGGGGAUGACGUCAAAUCAUCAUGCCCCUUAUGACCUGGGCUACACACGUGCUACAAUGGGAAGUACAACGAGUUGCGAAGUCGCGAGGCUAAGCUAAUCUCUUAAAGCUUCUCUCAGUUCGGAUUGCAGGCUGCAACUCGCCUGCAUGAAGCCGGAAUCGCUAGUAAUCGCGGAUCAGCACGCCGCGGUGAAUACGUUCCCGGGCCUUGUACACACCGCCCGUCACACCACGAGAGUUUGUAACACCCGAAGUCGAAGAGGUAACCUUUUGGAGCCAGCCGCCU
rnacentral:rRNA from 1 species